AACAGGGGCCUAAAUCUCCUGAAGGCACCAGAUCCCAUCUGAUCUUGAAAGCUCAGCAAAAUCAACCCUAGUUAGUAUUUGGAUGGGAGACCACAAUAAAUCCCAGGUGCUAUAGGCU
rnacentral:rRNA from 1 species